GGUUCUGUAGCUUAGCUGGUGAAAGCGCCGGGUUGUCAACUCGGAGAUCGCGGGUUCAAGUCCCGUCAGAACCGCCA
rnacentral:tRNA from 1 species